ensembl:rRNA 5S_rRNA 5S ribosomal RNA
GUCUGCAGCCAGGCCACCCUGAACACACCCGACGUCUGAUCUCGGAAGCUAAGCAGGGUCGGGCCUGGUUAGUACUUGGAUGGGAGACCAACUAGGAAGACCAGGUGCUGUGGGCG